rnacentral:rRNA from 1 species
GAUGAACGCUGGCGGCGUGCCUAAUACAUGCCAGUCGAGCGAACGGACGAGAAGCUUGCUUCUCUGAUGUUAGCGGCGGACGGGUGAGUAACACGUGGAUAACCUACCUAUAAGACUGGGAUAACUUCGGGAAACCGGAGCUAAUACCGGAUAAUAUUUUGAACCGCAUGGUUCAAAAGUGAAAGACGGUCUUGCUGUCACCUAUAGAUGGAUCCGCGCUGCAUUAGCUAGUUGGUAAGGUAACGGCUUACCAAGGCAACGAUGCAUAGCCGACCUGAGAGGGGGAUCGGCCACACUGGAACUGAGACACGGUCCAGACCCCUACGGGAGGCAGCAGGAGGGAAUCUUCCGAAAGGGGCGAAAGCCUGAGGGAGCAACGCCGGGUGAGUGAUGAAGGUCUUCGGAUCGUAAAACUCUUUUUUUAGGGAAGAACAUAUGUGUAAGUAACUGUGCACAUCUUGACGGUACCUAAUCAAAAAGCCACGGCUAACUACGU